GGAUAAGGGGGAUCUGGCUGCAACAUCUGUCACUCCAUUGAACACCAGGAUUGAUUCAGCUGAUCUGUCUGGCUAGGCAGGUGUCCCCUUCCUCACCAUACCAAGUACGUCUGAAAGACGUCUGUUCAAUGGAAGAUGACCAUCCCAAAUAGAAGGAAUGUACCGAUCUUUGGUCAAGAGCAGAGGUGGUGUUCAGCCAGUUCUGACAGGUUCUGGAGAACUCGUAGCUGAAAUUUUGGGUAGUUUGGAGAAUUGGCAAAUCCCACCUCUGA
rnacentral:sRNA from 1 species